rnacentral:lncRNA from 1 species
UCAUUUUGAUACCAAUUGAUAAGACCCUAAAGUCUUAUCGUGGAAGAAAUGAAAGAAAUAUGGAUGAUAAUGAUCGCUUCAAGAGGAUCGGCCUCCUUGAUCGCUUCGAGGGGAUCGACCUCCUUGAUCGCUUCGAGGGGAUCAGCCCUCCUUGAUCACUUCGAGAGGAUCGACCUCAUAGGAUUUGUCCACAUAGUGG